rnacentral:misc_RNA from 1 species
GAUGAAGAACGCAGCGAAAUGCGAUACGUAAUGUGAAUUGCAAAUUCAGUGAAUCAUCGAGUCUUUGAACGCACAUUGCGCCCCCUGGUAUUCCGGGGGGCAUGCCUGUCCGAGCGUCAUUGCUGCCCUCAAGCACGGCUUGUGUGUUGGGCCCCGUCCUCCGAUCCCGGGGGACGGGCCCGAAAGGCAGCGGCGGCACCGCGUCCGGUCCUCGAGCGUAUGGGGCUUUGUCACCCGCUCCGUAGGCCCGGCCGGCGCUUGCCGAUCAACCCAAAUUUUUAUCCAGGUUGACCUCGGAUCAGGUAGGGAUACCCGCUGAACUUAAGCAUAUCAAUAAGCGGAGGA